AGCAGCCGCGGUAAUUCCAGCUCCAAUAGCGUAUAUUAAAGUUGUUGCAGUUAAAAAGCUCGUAGUUGAAUUUCGGGAUCAGAUUGUCGGUCGUGCCUCGGUACGCACUGGCAUUAUUGGUUCCUACCUUCUGAAGAACCGCGAUGUCAUUAAUUUGGUGUCGUGGGGAAUCAGGACUGUUACUUUGAAAAAAUUAGAGUGUUUAAAGCAGGCGCACGCUUGAAUACAUUAGCAUGGAAUAAUGAAAUAGGACGUUUUGAUUCUAUUUUGUUGGUUUCUAGGAUCGACGUAAUGAUUAAUAGGGAUAGUUGGGGGCAUUAGUAUUCAAUUGUCAGAGGUGAAAUUCUUGGAUUUAUUGAAGACUAACUACUGCGAAAGCAUUUGCCAAGGAUGUUUUCAUUAAUCAAGAACGAAAGUUAGGGGAUCGAAGACGAUCAGAUACCGUCGUAGUCUUAACCAUAAACUAUGCCGACUAGGGAUCGGAUGAUGUUGAUUUUAUAAUGA
rnacentral:rRNA from 1 species